rnacentral:rRNA from 1 species
GUGGGGAAUAUUGCACAAUGGGGGAAACCCUGAUGCAGCGACGCCGCGUGAGUGAAGAAGUAUUUCGGUACGUAAAGCUCUAUCAGCAAGGAAGAAAAUGACGGUACUUGACUAAGAAGCCCCGGCUAACUACGUGCCAGCAGCCGCGGUAAUACGUAGGGGGCAAGCGUUAUCCGGAGUUACUGGGUGUAAAGGGAGCGUAGACGGUAUGGUAAGUCAGAUGUGAAAGCCCGGGGCUCAACCCCGAGACUGCAUUUGAAACUAUCAGACUAGAGUGCAGGAGAGGUAAGUGGAAUUCCUAGUGUAGCGGUGAAAUGCGUAGAUAUUAGGAGGAACACCAGUGGCGAAGGCGGCUUACUGGACUGUAACUGACGUUGAGGCUCGAAAGCGUGGGGAGCAAACAGGAUUAGAUACCCUAGUAGUCC